AAUUAGUUGAAACCCAACUAGACACCCCCCUCCUAGCCUAAUCGACCACAUGCCUAAAUGGAACAUAUUAUCCAUGGGACUAAAUUGUGUUGGAGGAUAUAAGCACUAGCCUUUAGAACAUAACCACCAUUCUCAACACAACACACUUUCAAAACUUCUCUUCUUCUCUCCUCCUUGAGUUCGGCAGCCAUCUUCCACCAUACUACCACCAUCAUCAAGCUCUUGUUCAAUCAUUUCUCAUACAUACAAAGGUGUAAGAGGCCCAACAACGAAGCUCAGUGCUCUCGGAAGUGGAAGGACCUUCUCCAUUCGCUAUUAACCAUCACUUUUCUACACUCGAACUUCCCUAGCCUUGAGCUAGUGGUCGCUAACUGCUUGGAGCUUGCACGAGGAUGGAGUCGUUGUGGUGUGCGGACAGUUAUGUCCAGUGUUUAAUAUUUAAAUCAUUAUGAACUUAUUAAACCUAUGUGUCGGACUUUAAACUUAUGAACUGCGAACUUAUGUUUUGAACUUUAUGUUUAUGCUUCCGCUGUCUAAAUUAAAACUUGGUUAACUAGCUUUUGGUCACCAAUCGUAUUGUGGUUGGCUUGAUUUACUUAAAUACAUUGUUCAGUAUGAUUGAUGUCUCGAUCCUGGUCACGUCACGCCU
rnacentral:lncRNA from 1 species